rnacentral:lncRNA from 13 species
AUAGUCUAAAAUAGCUGCUGGAGCACCAGCCAUUAUAUUCAUAUCCAAGGUAUCACAAUAGAGGAAAGCUUGAAGGAAGAAUUGGUACUCUUCCUUUAAAGAGAAUUCCUGGAAGGCACGCAGCAUUCCUGCUUACAUCUCUGUGGUCAGGACUUUCACAUGGCAACACCAAGCAUAAGGGAUAUGUUUUAGUGGGGCAGUGAUGUGCUCAGCUAAAACUUUCUAAAAGAGAGGGAAAAAGGCUACUGAGACGCAAUUAGUAGUCUCUACCACAGGAAGCAUGAGUUAAAAGCAUUCCAAUGACCAUACACUUCAUCUGUUGUUUCCAUGGCUGCAGAUGGUCAAAACACCACAGAGUUCCGAGGAGUUCCCUGUGAAGAAAUUAUUCUUUAUUUUGCCAAAUGAUUCAUCUGUGGUGUUCAAGUGGAUUUAAAUAACCCAAACCUAACGAGGCAUACUUCAUCACAGCCUGCGGCUUCAUAUUCCCCUUCCAUCACUAGUCCAGUGGCAGCUACCUAAAACAUGCUUUCUAGGAUCCCAUUUCAGCCCUAAAAAUGCUAAAACUCAGGUGUUACAGAACUUUGUCAGUGGAUGAAGUUAUAUCUGGUCCAGGUCAAAGGAAAAGCUUCAUGGAAAGACUGACUGCCAGAGACUCAUCAUCAAAGUCUGCAGAGCCAACCAAAGGCAGCUCUGUGUUGGAGGCCCCACCUAAGCUGUGAAGGGUUAGAAAGAUAGCUGUUUGUUUUGUGAGGACAUGAAUCACCAUCAGGACCAUUACAACAUUGCAAGCUGGGUCACAGGACUCUAAGUCACUCUGCAUUUUGCUCAGAGGCAGGGGAGCUUGGAGACUUGUUGCUGCCUUUUUGUUUCAGUGGAAAUGAAAUCCAUUCGUGUCACCGUUUCCUCCUGUUUCAGGUCAAGAACAAAGAGAGUAAGAGACACAUACUAGUGUCAGACAUUAAAGCCACAAUAAUAAAGAUGGCAAUGAACAUUUUUGUUCA